rnacentral:lncRNA from 1 species
UGUAGAGCAGGAUCUCACCAACACUGGCCACUUGGCAUCACCUGGGGAGCUGCUCGCUGUGAGAGUUUCUGUUGUCCAGAAGCUGGUGGGAAUUUUUGAAGCCUGAUCUCAACUGUAUCUCUUCUGAAAGUACAUCUGGGUUGUCCUUCAGCAAGUGGUCUGGAAAGGAGCAGCUUGUCCUUGGACCUGUUUGCAGAAGCUGGAGUUCAGCAGCUGUCUUUUGCUUGGCUUCUCCCCACCUCCAGGACUGAUGAUAUCCUGAAAGGCAGGAGGGGAACGAGGUUCAGAAGGGCUGGGACGCUGCUGAAAAUUGGGCACCAGAUUCUGGAAGCGGAGCAAGUCCUUGUCUACUGGACUUCACUCACAAGUACCCUGUAGAAAAAUUUUAUCAAGAGCAACCUGCAAGGCAAGAUGUUGUGAGAUUGGGCUGAAAUCAUGUGCGAGGGUAGAAUCACCUUACGUGGGGUAAAUCCAGAGAAGCUGGGAAAACUAAAUGCAGAUCUGAUGAUGGAAACAGAGCAGUGCAACCGGAGCUCACAAAAUAAAGGGUUUGUCUGGGCAAUGGCUGGACUAGAAGAAUUUGGCUUUUGAACGAAAACCCGAACGUUUUAUUAGACUCUCUGGAAAAAUACAAAACCAGAAAAAAAAAUUUUGGGUUGACCUGUAACAUUUUAUUUGGAAAAUAUUUAUUUUGGGGUGCCUAGCCUUUUCGCUUGUAACUUGGGAUGCUUUUUAAGUGACAAAUGCCAUCUCAGAAAGUAGUGUUGAAAGGAAUUAAAUGCUUCUUAAGUUGAAAAUGAAUGUUUCAACACUGAAAAAAAAAAAAAUAAAAUUGCUCCCUUUGUGAGACUUGAAACGAUU